rnacentral:lncRNA from 1 species
AACAAUAUGUUUAUGUGUAAAUAUCAUAAUAACAUGAAAAGUACUAAAUAAAUUACAUUUAAGCAAAAUGUACUAAAUAUACUACAUGAAAGCUAAGAGCCUCCCGAGCCACUACUCCUCGACUGCUGGGACCUCAAGAACUGCUGGAGCAUCUCAUUAGUCACCCGAAGUGACUCCUCCAAUCGGACUCUCUGCUCCUCCGCCUGAAACUGCUGGAGAGUAUGCUCGCGCUCCUCCUGAAGCUGUUGCUGCAGCUCUUCAAUUCAUAAUAGUUAAUAUAGAACCUAACAUUUAGUUGAUCUUUGUGAAAUAGACUAUUCUUAGUCAUGCCACAAUUGGGGAACCUGAUUGCUAUCCACAGAAAAUAUAGUACUAUAUAAUAAUCCUAUAAUAAUCCUAACAUCACAUAUAGUUAUUCACAAACAUGUAGAAACCUCAUCAAAUUACCAGCAAAUUACCAGCAAGAAUCCAAGCUUGAAGUCGUGUUUAAAGUAAAACUGUAACAUAACAGAAUACAGAUCAAUGAAGAGGGCAUUCAUGAAAUCCUAAAGUACCAAUAGAUUUCAGAUAGGAAAAGCAUACCAAAAUAUAACCAUACAUAAACCUCAAACAACACAAAAUAUAUACAUGACGAUGAUAGUCAGUUAAGCCACUUCUGGCACCACUACAUGGAUAGAAAACAAAGUGCCAUGCCUGCAUCGGGAUUCGGGGGUGAGGGGGGAUGAAAAUUUUGGAUUAAAUAUCUGGAACUGUUCUCAUCGUCUUAAUUACUUGAUAUAAACAAAAAAGAUGUAGGGAGAAAAAGGGCUUAUCAAAAUGAAAACAGAGUUUAUAAAUAGCUAAAAACUGAAUGAAUUGGUUUCUCAUAUCACCUAAAUCGAGCAAUUUCUCUUAAUGAUCUACCAAUUCCACAUCCCACGUCCAAUACCUGCAAACAAGGGCAAGUCUCCAAAAUUUAUUUAAAGCAAAGAAUUUAGCUCAGGAAAGAAGCCCAAAACACCUUUCUUUUGUCCUGGUUUCAGGCCAAGUUGUAAAGCAAGGAAGUGUUCAUGCCGCUUGAUGCUCUCUUGAAGAGAUCGCCUUUCCAUCUGUGGGAUAUUACAAUAAUCAUAUUUUGUAAUUGUUACAAGCUGCAAUUCAAAGAACUUAAACUAUCUUGGCUCUGAACACAUUAUAGAGUAACAGAGCAUCUUUUGACAGCUUAAAAUGACCUGAUUCAUUGCUGAUGGGACAAGAAAUUAUCAAAUUAACAGGAUUAAAAGUCAUAUUUGAGAUUUGAGCAUCUUCCACUAGCAACGGGGUCCAGAUAUAGGAACUAUUACCACAACUGCAUACUUAGGAUUCUCAGGAUAUACAGAACUAGACAAUUCAGUAGUUUCCUUUAUACUUCACAAUUUUAAGCAAUGGUAUGGAGAACUGAAGGUUGCUCUUGUUGAGAAAAAUAUGGUGAAUUCAUAAUCAACAAAAGAAAUUAUGACGCAACAAAUCAUUCCCUUAGCAGCCGCAUGAGCAGAGCUCAA